UCCAACCUCCAUUAGGGAUGAAAAAGCUACAAACGACAUUGUUCACCUUUUUCCAAAAGAAAAUUAAUCUGAAAAUCCAACUGAGGUGUAAAUCCCUGCGUUUACUUAACGUUUAUAAUUCAUCCUUCCCCACCCUGUAUCCCAAAUUACAAUUGAAGACUUCAACGCAUAACCCGUUAUUCUGUAAAGCAUCGCCUCCAAUCAUCAUUCAUUUGGAGGUACACCAUUCUAACACUAUCUUUUAUUUGCUUUGAUAAAAUUAUUUCUCAGCUGUUUAACUUAUAAACAAUGACAAUAUUAUUUCUUCCCUUGGUUAAAUAUUAAAUACCUAAACACUUUCCUGUGUGUUAACUGUCAAUUUACGCACUUAACAACCCUUCACAAGCUCAUAUUUGAAUCAACAUUUUUUCACACCGUACAACACAACUUUAACCCUUGAAUUACAAAUACAUUGUUUCUUACAAUUGCCCCAUUACUAGAACAAAGCUGUACCAUUUGUUAUUUCUAUAUGUUUAUUCCUUCUUGUAAAUACGAUGAAGACACAUACAUGUUUGUAAAACUUUCUGCAAAUUUUAUACAUUAACUUUUAAAACCCGCGGCAACGUGCGGGCACAAUUGCUAGUAUAAAACUAUUUGUCAAAA